GCCGUCAUAAAGACAAAUAAAUCAACUCACAAAAAGUAAGGGCGCAAGUUCUAAAUAAAAAAGGCUCGCCGUGUCUCCGGCUAAGGUGACAGUAGCUAUUACGUUGUUUUCCAUGAUUGGUCGUAGGUGUAACAAUCAUAUUGUAAGUCGUAGAGCAGAAGUUUAAAAGGGAAAUUAAUUGCGGAUCAACGUCUAAUAUAGGCCUAAGGAACUAUGUGCCCGACUACGUUAGCGCAUUGUGGUCCAAAAUUCUUUUGAAAGACUGUCGUAGAAAGUGGUCUAAUGUUAAGUGAUUCUCGUUGAGCCGCUGGGUAAAGCAGGCGGACGCAAGUAAACCCAGCCACGUGUGUUUUUACCUCUGGGUUGCACGGCUGGGUUUGAGUUUAGCGCAGGCAGACCGCAGGCGCAGCUGGGUAAAGGCUGGAUUUUAAUGCGGACCUUACGCAGCCGCGCCUGCGCGGCGCGCAGAGGAGCGGCAGGCUGCGCAGGGGUGGACAUCCGGUGGGUUGGCGGUGGCCAGCAGAAUAAAUACUGCUGGUGACUGUCGCCCGGGUGCGCAGUCGGUCACCUUCGCAGAAAAAAAUUCGUGCGCACACCGCCCCGGCCGGAGUAGGUGAAGAGGGCAGGUGUAGACCGGGGGGUGGUGAGGAAAACGAAGGAGCGGCCGCUGGCGUUUGGGAUCGCGCGGGUACCCGGAGAAGCCGUGAUCGUUACCGUUCCCGUGGGGGCCGCGGAGCAGGAGGGCACGAGGGGAAGGGGGAGGAGGAGGCCGCCGCGGCGCAAAGGCGGGACCAGCAGCCGCGGACGUGUAGGGCCACGUGGUUCGCGCCACCGUGACCCUCAUGUCCGUCGGCGACGGCAUGGGGCUGCAGUGCGACGGCGUGGUAACCGUAGACCUAGGCGUCGCCUAGGGCCACGGCUGCCAAGGCGAAUCGGUCGCCCGCGUGCUGCUGCUCCACGCGUCCGUGGCGCACGACGAGUACGGCCUCGUUGCAGCCGACGGUCUCAUGCGGCGGCUGAGAGGGUUGACCCUCCGCACCAAGCGGGAGCUUACGCUCCUCGUUGCCGCGUACCCACAGCUGCGGCAGGGCGGCGGCAAGGGUGGCGGCGGGGGCGUCCAUCUCGGCCUCCUGUACCUCCGCCUCCGCCUCAUGGUUCGGCGGGAGCUCCUCCGGGACGUCGUGCGCGACCUCCGAUCGGCGGAGCACCUCCUGCGCGUGACCCUGCCCGACCUCGUUCGGGAACGGGACAGCCGCCGCCCCCUGAGGCAGGUGUGGGGCGACAAGCACGGCGGUGGCGGUGGCAGCGGCGGGCAGGUCGGGUUCGUCUCGGCCUCGGCUGCCCCUUCGCGAGGGGCGUAGGUGGUUGAACCGGCCUCCUCCGGAUGAGCACCUGCCCGGUCAUGGCGCUCACCCACUCGCGCGGAGGACAGGUGAAGCGGCGCUGUGGCCGCGUCCUCCGCCGAGUGGAGCUCGCUACCUUCCUCGUGACCGAGGCGGUCCUCGUCCGGCUGCCGCUCCUCGUCUACGCGAUGCUCCGGUACGAGGUUGCACUGUACUUCCGCGAGGCCGAGUUCCUCCUCCUCCUCCUCCUCGCGCGCCGACCGGCGUUACGGCGGCGGGGUCGUCUGCGGCCUCCUCCGACGGGACCGUCGCAUGGUCCGCCGCAAGUCCACCCGAUCGGGACGAGGCCAGAAGUAGCUGGAGUGGCUGCUGCCACUGCAGCUGCAGUUCCCGUUCCGACUGCUGCAGAUCCCGUCGCACGCCCUGCCGUCGUCUGCCCGCGUUUGAAAAAAUUAUAAAAUAAAUUACAAAUUAAUAUAAAUUCAUCUGAAACCGGCCGCAAACUGGCCGGUGAAUACAAAUUAAUACAAAUAAAAAUACAAAUAAAGCACACUCAACAAAAAAAGUACGACCAUAUAAACCCAGCCGGAGGAGCAAUCUGUCAGUUUGGCUAGGUAUAAUUUUAUGCCUGCGCAUGAGCAGACCGGCUGGGUUUGCUUAUUUUUUCCCUAUUUCGCGCGCAGCCAAACCAAGCAGAGAUUUGUUACUUUAGCCCCGGACCAAGAGUAGAGCGGUCUAAGGAGACGGGUGCCGGCAGCUCUACUUUAGGGCCAUCCCCUCACGCCAGUUUGACGGCUGCUGGCACCCGGGGCGGUGGGGGCUUGAGGGGCGUCUCCGGGGCUGGGGCGGGAGCCCGGGCGGCGGGUCGCUGGGUAGCCCGAGUGGUUUGGUAGUAGUGUACACCCUUACAAGGGGUGGGAACAGGAGGGGUGGUGGCGGGGGCGCCGAUGCGCAGGGGGCGCGGGGCAGGGGGUGCCGAGGAGGUAUGGCAAUGGGCUGCUGUGUCCAGAGCAGAGAGAGAUGAUGAGGUUUCUGAUGAUGACGAGACGGAGAUGUAGAGAUCGAUCGACGAGGGAAGAGACAGGGAGCCGUGUCGUCAGUCAAGUAGAGAGAGAGGAGGAGCUGGGCAGGAGGAGGGGAGAGGGCGUGGGCGCGCCGCGGGUUACGGCAUGCUUGGGAUCGCCGGGGUGGGGGCUAGAGCGCGCCGGUACCCGUUGACGACGGCGAGGGGCCGCCGGCGCCGCGCCCUCCUGCAGAGCAGCAGCGUGAAGGGGCGGAGGCGGCCCUUCUUCUUCGGGGUGGUCCGCGCCUUGCCGCCGCCGCGCCCCCCUCCGCCUCCGCCCCCGCCGCGGCGGCCUCGGCCCCUCUUCUUCGCGGAGAGCCACGAGCCCCUCCUCCCGGCGCUGCACUCGCCGCCCUAGCUGCUGUUCAUGCGCGACCUGGCCCUCGACCCCGCCCCGCUCAAGCCCCAGUGCAUGGACACGUACCUGGCCCCUAGGUUCCUCGACGAGCGGACGUUCAGGUAGAGGUUCGCGUUCGACGCGUGCGGGCAGCUGCACCUCCUGCACGCGGCCCUCCACCGGUAGUACGCGGUGGACGGGGCGUCGCGGUCGUAGCAGUGCGACGCCCUCCGGACGCUCCUGCUGCCGCGGCACGUGGAGCAGUACCUCGAGACGCUCCCGCCCCUCGAGAAGCUGGCGUAGCAGCGCGCCCCGGUGAUGUGCCUCGCGCGGCGGCGGCGGCAGUGCGCGUGGUAGCAGCUCCAGCACGUCGAGACGGUGGUGGUGCCGCAGUAGGUGGCGCUGGAGUUCGGGCUCUUGAAGGAGAAGCGGUUGUUCUUCCUCUUGAGGGGCGAGUUCCGGUAGCUGAAGCCGGAGAGGUAGAAGAAGUUCGGGCCACUCUUCAAGAGACUUUAACACCCUUCAGGGAUGAUAUACCGAGGACUUCACGACUUCUCUUUGAUACCUGGACUUUAUCUGUAAACCUCACGACCGCAAUAGAACAUAUAUAACAAUACGCCACAAGGAGGUAAAACCCGACUCUGACUUGUUCCUCACCGUGUUCGAUAGGAAGCGCCUUUAUAUCUAAAAUUCUCUCUUGGGACCGGGGUACAAAGACUAUUACGAUUUCUAGAUCAAGCCGUCUACGAAGUCGGACUGGGCUUUUAGUCCGAAUGCCGUUUCGUUCAAGAACUCGUAUGUACCGAAGUUUUACGUUUCUUUCGAGGUUUACAAGGAGAACCUCUGUAGCAUUUCAGUUCCGACUUUGUUAAAAGUUCCUACUUAUCUAAAUUUUCUUCUCGAGAUUCCCAAUAACGACUGGUGAACAGCCGACUUCUUCAACUCCUGUAUUUCCUCUACAAGUUUCACUACCUAUGACUAUUACUGCCAUAUCAGAGUAUACUUCUCAACUUCUCGCCCUAACGUUUUAAACCAAGAGUGGAACGUCUUAGACUUCACGUUUACAAUUAUCUUCGACACCUAUGUUUACCAUCUCCUCGUGAUCUAAUACCACUUAAAAACCGACAGAGUGAAGUAGAUGUUUCCUACCGUUUACUACUCGUGGAAGCCGCCCGGAAGGACAAAAAGCUAUUCCUACCGCUACCAAAAUAACUCGGACUCCUCGAAGUCCUCCGGGACCGCCUCCUACCCCGCCAUCUAUAGUGUCUUCACCACUUCCUGUAUAACGUUCUUCAACUGUGGCUGUUCCUACCGUUUUAAUCGAAGCUUCUCAAACAUCGUUACUACUUUUGGCCGUGUCUGACCGCCUUCCGAAGUGCCGUAAUAAGCUCUCCUGCUAAGUUAUCGGAUUCGUAUUCCGAAUAGUUCCUACCUAGACAUUUCUACCCUUUACUCACUUUAGUGUCCGAACGUCGACUACGAGAAUAAGGCCAGUGUAUGUGAAACAACCGAACUACCUUAGCACACAUGACAUAACCACCAAUUCUCGAUCUAUACGGCUCAUCCGGUGACUGACAAUCACGUCGGAACGAAAGUUGACAUGGUUUUGUCGUAUAGCGGUUCCCUUCUCCUGUUCUCCCGCGGUCCAUCGGCGUUGAAAAAACAUAUCACGAUGGGAUACACACGGCAAGAUAAACGUCAUCCUCACGUGGUCUAACAGACACCCAUGCGACGACACAACGACAGACCAUGACUUUCAAAGCCGAUGCACGGUUCUGCCCUAGUCCCAUUGGACGUCAAACAGCAGUGUCAUAUUAAAACUCUCAAACGGACCAGAGUACAUCAUGAACAUCGCCAGGUGAAUAACAAGCACCCAAAUUUGAAAUUUGGGUUGACGAGAACCCCGGUAACGAAGGCUUUAGUAACCUCUAACACA
rnacentral:rRNA from 1 species